CUGGGCUCGAACGGCUGGUUAACGGCGGUGGAAACACUGCUACUCCGCAAGGAGGUCCAGUCGAGGUGCUGCAUGGCUGUCGUCAGCUCGUGUCGUGAGAUGUUGGGUUAAGUCCCGCAACGAGCGCAACCCUUGUCCUGUGUUGCCAUCCCGCAAGGGGGCACUCGCAGGAGACCGCCAGCGAUAAGCUGGAGGAAGGUGGGGAUGACGUCAAGUCCUCAUGGCCUUUAUGUCCAGGGCUACACACGUGCUCAAUGGCCGGUGCAAAGCGCUGCUAAGUCGCGAGACGGAGCCAAUCGCAAAAAACCGGUCUCAGUUCGGAUUGCAGGCUGCAACUCGCCUGCAUGAAGCUUGGAAUCGCUAGUAGUGGCGUAUCAGAACGAUGCCGUGAAUACGUUCCCA
rnacentral:rRNA from 1 species